UGCCAGCAGCUGCGGUAAUACGCAGGGGGGUAGCGUUGUUCGGAAUUACUGGGCGUAAAGCGCACGUAGGCGCAUUAGUAAGUUAGGGGUGAAAUCCCGGGGCUCAACCCCGGAACUGCCUCUAAUACUGCUAGUCUUGAGUUCGAGAGAGGUGAGUGGAAUUCCGAGUGUAGAGGUGAAAUUCGUAGAUAUUCGGAGGAACACCAGUGGCGAAGGCGGCUCACUGGCUCGAUACUGACGCUGAGGUACGAAAGUGUGGGGAGCAGACAGGAUUAGAUA
rnacentral:rRNA from 1 species